UACUGGGGUGUUUUUUUUUCUUUUUUUCAGGAUACACUUAUGCAAUUGUCCCUUAUUGCCAUUUAGAAGAAACUGAUUUUUAAAGAGAGUGAUUUUUCUUUCCUGUGGAGGAGUUCUCAUUACUCACUCUAUAUUGCAGAUUCUCAGCUAAUACUGGAGUUUCAGAGACCCAUCAGAGAGAGAGCCAGUGCACUGCUGCCCCAGAGACUCCCUCAGGCUUAUAGAUCAUUUCUUCCUAGUUUUAGGAACGACUCUGACAAUAACCUCCUGAUUCCCAUCAGCCCCGUGUCCGGCAGCAUUCCAUCACUCUUCGACGAUAUCGAUCUAGCUGUCUCUCUCGUCUGCCUCAUCAAUGCACACGUAUGACUAAGGACGACUGUGGGCUGACGUGCUGCAGCAUACGGACAAAAUGCAUUUCACCUCUGAUUCCAGCGCACUUGGCUUUUCUGUCUGAUGAAAGACAUAAAGGCAGUUUUAUACAAUUUGACAAAACAUGAGGAUCAUAUUCUCUGUGAUGUUUCCAUUAAAAGAGUCUGUGGCGUUACACACUGUGCUGGACACAAUGGGCAACUUGACCGUGCGCAGGGUUGCAGGGAUUCCUCCCGUUGGAGUGGUGAAGCCCCAGCCGGACACGGUGCACACGCGACCCACGGCCACCAUAGUGUCCUGCCGAGGCAGCGGCGCCAGAGACACAAAGCUGUUCACAUAGAUGGGAGACUGCAGCUAAACAGCUCACCACGAGGAGCUCCAGGAGAACACAGAGCAGAAGCAGCGGCAGGUUCAUACUGAUGGAGAUGCAGACGCAGACGCAGAGACAGACACAUCCACUGGUGCAGACCAGACUGAGAGGAACUCUGCUUCAG